AUUGAACGCUGGCGGCAGGCCUAACACAUGCAAGUCGAGCGGAUGAAGGGAGCUUGCUCCUGGAUUCAGCGGCGGACGGGUGAGUAAUGCCUAGGAAUCUGCCUGGUAGUUGGGGAUAACGUCCGGACACGGGCGCUUAUACCGCAUACGUCCUGAGGGUGAAAGUGGGGGAUCUUCGGACCUACCGCUAUCUGAUGAGCCUAGGUCGGAUUAGCUAGUUGGUAGGGUAAAGUCCUACCAAGGCGACGAUCCGUAACUGGUCUGAGAGGAUGAUCAGUCACACUGGAACUGAGACACGGUCCAGACUCCUACGGGAGGCAGCAGUGGGGAAUAUUGGACAAUGGGCGAAAGCCUGAUCCAGCCAUGCCGCGUGUGUGAAGAAGGUCUUCGGAUUGUAAAGCACUUUAAGUUGGGAGGAAGGGCAGUAAGUUAAUACCUUGCUGUUUUGACGUUACCAACAGAAUAAGCACCGGCUAACUUCGUG
rnacentral:rRNA from 1 species